AUACGUAGGUGGCGAGCGUUAUCCGGAAUUAUUGGGCGUAAAGAGUGCGUAGGUGGUUUGGUAAGCGUGGGGUGAAAGGCAAUAGCUUAACUAUUGUAAGCCUUGCGAACUGCCAGACUUGAGUGCAGGAGAGGAAAGUGGAAUUCCUAGUGUAGCGGUGAAAUGCGUAGAUAUUAGGAGGAACACCAGUGGCGAAGGCGACUUUCUGGACUGUAACUGACACUGAGGCACGAAAGCGUGGGGAGC
rnacentral:rRNA from 1 species